rnacentral:rRNA from 1 species
UUAAUCGAAAAGUUUAGAUCUUAUAUUUCAUUGUUUAGAAGUAAGUGUUUAUCCUAGGUAAGGUUAGUUAAAUGAUUUAUAAGAAGUGAUAAAUUAGUCGUUAAAUUUUAUAUCUAUUUAGCUGCUUCGUAGUAUUGAGUUAAGUUAUGGGUUAUGAUAUCCAUAAUUUGUUUACACUAUAAUUAAUUUUUAAUUAAAGAUUAGGUUAGAAUUACCUGUUUUUUAUAAGUUUGUUAAAAAUUUUUUGUUAUGUAAUUGGAUAGUUAAUUUAUGUAGUAGCUUAAUGAAAUUUUUAGUAUGCUAAUGAUCAUUAAAUAAGUAAUUAUAUUAUAUCAGUUAUUUCUCGGUAAUUUUCCGUCUGUUUAUUAAAAACAUUUCCAACUUUAAUAAUAGUUGGUAUUACCUGCUCUAUGUUUAUAUAAAUGGCCGCAGUAUAUUGACUGUGCGAAGGUAGCAUAAUUAAUUGCCUUUUAAAUGAGGGCUUGUUUGAAUGGUGG